rnacentral:rRNA from 1 species
GAUCAUGGCUCAGGAUGAACGCUAGCUACAGGCUUAACACAUGCAAGUCGAGGGGCAGCAUUAAAGUUUGCUUGCAAACUUUAGAUGGCGACCGGCGCACGGGUGAGUAACACGUAUCCAACCUGCCGAUAACUCGGGGAUAGCCUUUCGAAAGAAAGAUUAAUACCCGAUGGUAUAUUUUCACCGCAUGGUGAGACUAUUAAAGAAUUUCGGUUAUCGAUGGGGAUGCGUUCCAUUAGG